AUACGGGGGGUGCAAGCGUUAUUCGGAUUUACUGGGCGUAAAGGGCGCGUAGGCGGCUUGGUAAGUCAGAUGUGAAAGCCCGGGGCUUAACCCCGGAAGUGCAUUUGAAACUAUCAGGCUUGAGUAUGGGAGAGGGAAGUGGAAUUCCUGGUGUAGAGGUGAAAUUCGUAGAUAUCAGGAGGAACACCGGUGGCGAAGGCGACUUCCUGGACCAAUACUGACGCUGAGGCGCGAAGGCGUGGGGAGCAAACAGGAUUAGAUACCCCAGUAGUCC
rnacentral:rRNA from 1 species